UACGUAGGGUGCGAGCGUUAAUCGGAAUUACUGGGCGUAAAGCGUGCGCAGGCGGUUCGUUGUGUCGGCGGUGAAAGCCCCGGGCUUAACCUGGGAAUGGCCGUCGAAACUGGCGAACUGGAGUGUGGCAGAGGGGGGGUGGAAUUCCGCGUGUAGCAGUGAAAUGCGUAGAGAUGCGGAGGAACACCGAUGGCGAAGGCAGCCCCCUGGGCUGACACUGACGCUCAGGCACGAAAGCGUGGGGAGCAAACAGG
rnacentral:rRNA from 1 species